UUAAAUUGAAGAGUUUGAUCAUGGCUCAGAUUGAACGCUGGCGGCAGGCCUAACACAUGCAAGUCGAACGGUAACAGGAAGCAGCUUGCUGCUUUGCUGACGAGUGGCGGACGGGUGAGUAAUGUCUGGGAAACUGCCUGAUGGAGGGGGAUAACUACUGGAAACGGUGGCUAAUACCGCAUAACGUCGCAAGACCAAAGAGGGGGACCUUCGGGCCUCUUGCCAUCAGAUGUGCCCAGAUGGGAUUAGCUUGUUGGUGAGGUAACGGCUCACCAAGGCGACGAUCCCUAGCUGGUCUGAGAGGAUGACCAGCCACACUGGAACUGAGACACGGUCCAGACUCCUACGGGAGGCAGCAGUGGGGAAUAUUGCACAAUGGGCGCAAGCCUGAUGCAGCCAUGCCGCGUGUAUGAAGAAGGCCUUCGGGUUGUAAAGUACUUUCAGCGGGGAGGAAGGUGUUGUGGUUAAUAACCGCAGCAAUUGACGUUACCCGCAGAAGAAGCACCGGCUAACUCCGUGCCAGCAGCCGCGGUAAUACGGAGGGUGCAAGCGUUAAUCGGAAUUACUGGGCGUAAAGCGCACGCAGGCGGUCUGUCAAGUCGGAUGUGAAAUCCCCGGGCUCAACCUGGGAACUGCAUUCGAAACUGGCAGGCUUGAGUCUUGUAGAGGGGGGUGGAAUUCCAGGUGUAGCGGUGAAAUGCGUAGAGAUCUGGAGGAAUACCGGUGGCGAAGGCGGCCCCCUGGACAAAGACUGACGCUCAGGUGCGAAAGCGUGGGGAGCAAACAGGAUUAGAUACCCUGGUAGUCCACGCCGUAAACGAUGUCUACUUGGAGGUUGUGCCCUUGAGGCGUGGCUUCCGGAGCUAACGCGUUAAGUAGACCGCCUGGGGAGUACGGCCGCAAGGUUAAAACUCAAAUGAAUUGACGGGGGCCCGCACAAGCGGUGGAGCAUGUGGUUUAAUUCGAUGCAACGCGAAGAACCUUACCUGGUCUUGACAUCCACGGAAGUUUUCAGAGAUGAGAAUGUGCCUUCGGGAACCGUGAGACAGGUGCUGCAUGGCUGUCGUCAGCUCGUGUUGUGAAAUGUUGGGUUAAGUCCCGCAACGAGCGCAACCCUUAUCCUUUGUUGCCAGCGGUCCGGCCGGGAACUCAAAGGAGACUGCCAGUGAUAAACUGGAGGAAGGUGGGGAUGACGUCAAGUCAUCAUGGCCCUUACGACCAGGGCUACACACGUGCUACAAUGGCGCAUACAAAGAGAAGCGACCUCGCGAGAGCAAGCGGACCUCAUAAAGUGCGUCGUAGUCCGGAUUGGAGUCUGCAACUCGACUCCAUGAAGUCGGAAUCGCUAGUAAUCGUGGAUCAGAAUGCCACGGUGAAUACGUUCCCGGGCCUUGUACACACCGCCCGUCACACCAUGGGAGUGGGUUGCAAAAGAAGUAGGUAGCUUAACCUUCGGGAGGGCGCUUACCACUUUGUGAUUCAUGACUGGGGUGAAGUCGUAACAAGGUAACCGUAGGGGAACCUGCGGUUGGAUCACCUCCUUA
rnacentral:rRNA from 1 species